rnacentral:rRNA from 1 species
GAUUCCCCUAGUAACUGCGAGUGAAGCGGGAAAAGCUCAAAUUUUGAAUCUGGCGGUCUUUACGGCCGUCCGAAUUGUAAUCUAGAGAAGUGUCUUCCGCGCUGGGCCGUGUACAAGUCUCCUGGAAGGGAGCGUCAUAGAGGGUGAGAAUCCCGUCUUUGACACGGACAACCAGGGCUUCUGUGAUGCACUCUCGACGAGUCGAGUUGUUUGGGAAUGCAGCUCAAAAUGGGUGGUAAACUCCAUCUAAAGCUAAAUAUAGGCGAGAGACCGAUAGCGAACAAGUACCGUGAGGGAAAGAUGAAAAGAACUUUGAAAAGAGAGUUAAACAGUACGUGAAAUUGCUGAAAGGGAAACGCUUGAUGUCAGUCGCGUCGGCCAGGGAUCAACCUUUGCUUUCAUUAGCUGGGCGCACUUCCUGGUCUACGGGUCAGCAUCAGUUUUCGUCGCUCGUACAAUGGUGAGGGGAACGUGACACUCUCUUCGGGGAGUGUGUUAUAGCCUUUCAUCGUAUGCGGCGGUGGGGACUGAGGAACCUCAGCACGGCCUUCACGGGCUUGUGUUUAGGAUGCUGGCAUAAUGGCCUUAAGCGACCCGUCUUGAAACACGGACCAAGGAGUCUAACAUGCCUGCGAGUGUUCGGGCGUACAAAACCCGCGCGCGCAACGAAAGUGAAAGUCGAGAUCUCUGUCGUGGAGAGCACCGACGCCCGGAUUUUUAAUUUUUUAAGGGUCUGCGGUAGAGCAUGUAUGUUAGGACCCGAAAGAUGGUGAACUAUGCCUGAAUAGGGUGAAGCCAGAGGAAACUCUGGUGGAAGCUCGUAGCGAUUCUGACGUGCAAAUCGAUCGUCGAAUUUGGGUAUAGGGCGAAAGACUAAUC